rnacentral:rRNA from 1 species
AUGCAAGUCGAACGGAAAGGCCCUGCUUGCAGGGUACUCGAGUGGCGAACGGGUGAGUAACACGUGGGUGAUCUGCCCUGCACUUCGGGAUAAGCCUGGGAAACUGGGUCUAAUACCGGAUAGGACCAUCGUUUAGUGUCGGUGGUGGAAAGUUUUUCGGUGCAGGAUGAGCUCGCGGCCUAUCAGCUUGUUGGUGGGGUAAUGGCCUACCAAGGCGUCGACGGGUAGCCGGCCUGAGAGGGUGGACGGCCACAUUGGGACUGAGACACGGCCCAGACUCCUACGGGAGGCAGCAGUGGGGAAUAUUGCACAAUGGGCGCAAGCCUGAUGCAGCGACGCCGCGUGGGGGAUGAAGGCCUUCGGGUUGUAAACUCCUUUCAACCAUGACGAAGCUUUUGUGACGGUAGUGGUAGAAGAAGCACCGGCUAACUACGUGCCAGCAGCCGCGGUAAUACGUAGGGUGCGAGCGUUGUCCGGAAUUACUGGGCGUAAAGAGCUCGUAGGUGGUUUGUCGCGUCGUCUGUGAAAUUCCGGGGCUUAACUCCGGGCGUGCAGGCGAUACGGGCAUAACUUGAGUGCUGUAGGGGAGACUGGAAUUCCUGGUGUAGCGGUGAAAUGCGCAGAUAUCAGGAGGAACACCAAUGGCGAAGGCAG